GGAGACGUGGCCGAGAGGCUGAAGGCACUCGUUUGCUAAAUGAGCAGACCUCGAAAGGGGUCUCGAGGGUUCGAAUCCCUCCGUCUCCG
rnacentral:tRNA from 3 species